rnacentral:rRNA from 1 species
AUUGAACGCUGGCGGCAUGCCUUAUACAUGCAAGUCGAACGGUAACAGGUCUUCGGACGCUGACGAGUGGCGAACGGGUGAGUAAUACAUCGGAACGUGCCUAGUAGUGGGGGAUAACUACUCGAAAGAGUGGCUAAUACCGCAUGAGAUCUACGGAUGAAAGCAGGGGAUCGCAAGACCUUGUGCUACUAGAGCGGCCGAUGGCAGAUUAGGUAGUUGGUGGGAUAAAAGCUUACCAAGCCGACGAUCUGUAGCUGGUCUGAGAGGACGAUCAGCCACACUGGGACUGGGACACGGCCCAGACUCCUACGGGAGGCAGCAGUGGGGAAUUUUGGACAAUGGGCGCAAGCCUGAUCCAGCAAUGCCGCGUGCAGGAUGAAGGCCUUCGGGUUGUAAACUGCUUUUGUACGGAACGAAAAGCCCCGGGUUAAUACCCUGGGGUCAUGACGGUACCGUAAGAAUAAGCACCGGCUAACUACGUGCCAGCAGCCGCAGUAA